rnacentral:rRNA from 1 species
GACGAACGCUGGCGGCGUGCCUAAUACAUGCAAGUAGAACGCACAGUUUAUACCGUAGCUUGCUACACCAUAGACUGUGAGUUGCGAACGGGCGAGUAACGCGUAGGUAACCUGCCUGGUAGCGGGGGAUAACUAUUGGAAACGAUAGCUAAUACCGCAUAAUAUUAAUUAUUGCAUGAUAAUUAAUUGAAAGGUGCAAUUGCACCACUACCAGAUGGACCUGCGUUGUAUUAGCUAGUAGGUGAGGUAACGGCUCACCUAGGCGACGAUACAUAGCCGACCUGAGAGGGUGAUCGGCCACACUGGGACUGAGACACGGCCCAGACUCCUACGGGAGGCAGCAGUAGGGAAUCUUCGGCAAGGGACGAAAGUCUGACCGAGCAACGCCGCGUGAGUGAAGAAGGUUUUCGGAUCGUAAAGCUCUGUUGUAAGAGAAGAACGGGUGUGAGAGUGGAAAGUUCACACUGUGACGGUAUCUUACCAGAAAGGGACGGCUAACUACGUG